GCCAUGGCUUCUUUAGUAAGCUUGCUUUUCUCUCUCUGUACUCUCGCUCUCUAUAACGCCCCCACACAGUCCCUCUUUCUUCUUUAAGAUCCUCCACUUACUCUCUCUUUCAGAUACACAGUCUCUCUCUUGAUUACGAGUAUUUCUCUCUCUAAUUACUCUCGUUCUCUGUGUGCAUGUGUAUAUAUGCAGUGAAUCAGGAAAGGGUAUACGAGUGUUUUUCACUGUGAUUCUUUUUCUACUUUCUCUCUCUACAGUAUUUUCUCUUUCUACAGUAGCUUUGGACGAAGCGCACGCAGUCUGUUUGUGCCUUCUCUCUUUAUCUGGAAGGUGUGAGGGGGCAAUGUAGGAGAUGGUGUACUGAUUUCGCCGGAGAAUAGGUCUGAAAUGGCCAAGUGUCACCAGAACAGCGUCGGAUCCGUGGUGCUCGAUCGCGCCGGCGGUGGGCACUCACGGUUGUGGACGGUGCUUUCCGGCGCCUCAUUCCGCCGGAAAAUAAUGGACACCAUGCGCUGCGGCGGUUCACGCUAUCGACACGACGACGAUGCCGAGAAAAUGCCGCCGGAGAAGCCGAAGCCACAGCCGCAGCAGCAGCAGAAGCAGAGUUGCGAGUGCGAUGGCGGAUCGAGAUCCCAGCCGAAGAAGAACGGUGGAUCGGAGAAGUUAGCGGAGCUACUGAGGCUGUCGGAGUGGUCGGAAUCGGAGGAUGAGGUGAAGAGGAAGGUGGAGACGUUGGAGGAGUUGAAGAGAGUGGUGAAGAGGUUGCAAAGCGACGACGUUUCGGGAGGCGCAAUGGAGGUGAGGAGGCUUGCGAAGGAAGAUCCGGAGGCGAGAACCACACUCGCGUUGCUCGGAGCAAUUCCGCCUCUCGUUGCAUUGCUUGAUUCGGACGAUCUCAACUCUCAGAUCGCCUCUCUCUACGCUCUUCUCAAUCUAGGGAUUGGCAAUGAUGCAAACAAAGCGGCCAUUGUUAAAGCAGGAGCUGUUCACAAGAUGCUAAAGCUCAUUGAAUCUCCAAAUGGGUCUCCAAAGCCGGCUGUUGCAGAACCAAUAGUUGCAAAUUUUCUUGGCUUGAGCGCACUAGACUCCAAUAAACCAAUUAUUGGUUCUUCAGGGGCAAUCCCUUUCUUGGUAAAAACCCUUAAAAAUUUGGAGAAAAAGAACAGCCGACAAGCCGAACAGGACUCUUUGCGAGCACUAUACAAUCUUUCAAUAUCGCCUUUGAACGUUUCCCCAAUUCUAGAAACCAACUUGAUCCCAUUUCUCUUGGCUGCAUUGGGUGACAUGGAGGUGAGUGAAAGAGUCCUCUCAAUUCUAAGCAAUGUGGUGUCUGUGCCGGAAGGUCGAAAAGCAGUCAGCACUAUGCCUGAUACAUUCCCAAUUCUGAUUGAUGUUUUGAAUUGGACCGAUUCUCCGGGGUGUCAAGAGAAAGCGUCCUAUAUUUUAAUGGUGAUGGCACACAAAGCAUAUGGAGAUAGACAAGCCAUGAUCGAGGCUGGCAUUGUUUCAGCAUUGCUUGAAUUAACUCUUCUAGGGAGUACAUUAGCGCAGAAGAGGGCUUCGAGGAUCUUGGAGUUUUUGCGAAUAGACAAGGGGAAGCAGAUUUCAGAAAGCUAUGGAGGGGGGUUUAGUACAGUCUCAGCUCCUAUAUGUGGAUCUUCAUCAUCUACGGCAGAUCCAAAUCAUCAAUUGAAGGAGUGUUCGGAGGAGGAAGAUCUAAUGAUGAGUGAAGAGAGAAAAGCAGUGAAGCAAUUAGUCCAACAGAGCUUGCAGAACAACAUGAAAAGGAUUGUGAAGAGGGCCAAUUUGCCGCAAGAUUUUGUUCCAUCCGAUCAUCUCAAGUCCCUCACAACAACUUCAACUUCUAAAAGCUUACCAUUUUGAGAAGAUUGUGAAAGAAAAUCAAAGUGAGGAGAGAAGGGUUAGCGAAUUGGAGACGAGAGAAGAAUCUAAGCCUAAGCCGUUCAUUGCUAAGUACUCCUGAACUUCAUCAGCUAUACCCUCUCCACAAGGGAUGUCAUAUAAUGUUUGUCGAGAAGCAUUCAUCGUUGAAUUGGAGAGAAGUGUGGGCCUUGAAGGCCAUUAUAAGUCUAAAUCCAGCAGAUGGCAGAGUUAUUAUCGUCCUUUCUUGACGAUGAGAACCCCUUCUAAUCACAUCAACUUCUCUUUCUCCCUUGAUAGUUGUUUAUUGUCUCCCUUAAUUCAGUUUCUUUCUACGGAUUGUGCUCUCUCUCUUUCCAUUAAUCAUUUACAGUUGUACUAUUACAAUAAUAGAUUGAAUGGUCCACCCAGUUCAUCAUUAGUGCUUUGCUGGAGAAGUUUAUGUCAAAACUCUUUAAACCGGCGUUUAUAUCGGAAUAAGGCAAGAAUGAAGACGGCGACGAAUACGACUAUCUAACACCGGUUCUGUGAUCCUUGAAUUUACACAAAUUCUAUAGGUGAAAUUGAGCUUUUGUGGGCCACUAGAUCAUUGAUGAUUUUCUUUGAAUUUUAAAGGAAGUAACGAUGUAGAUUUAAGUUAUAGUGACCUGAUACUGAACAUGCUAAAUUUGAAGUAAGCCAAGUGCUUAAUUUUUGUUGCCGCCUAUUU